UUUGUGUACCUACCUCUGUUGCUUUGGCGGGCCGCGGUCCUCCGCGGCCGCCCCCCUCCCCGGGGGGGUGGCCAGCGCCCGCCAGAGGACCAUCAAACUCCAGUCAGUAAACGAUGCAGUCUGAAAAACAUUUAAUAAACUAAAACUUUCAACAACGGAUCUCUUGGUUCUGGCAUCGAUGAAGAACGCAGCGAAAUGCGAUAAGUAAUGUGAAUUGCAGAAUUCAGUGAAUCAUCGAAUCUUUGAACGCACAUUGCGCCCUUUGGUAUUCCGAAGGGCAUGCCUGUUCGAGCGUCAUUACAACCCUCAAGCUCUGCUUGGUAUUGGGCACCGUCCUUUGCGGGCGCGCCUCAAAGACCUCGGCGGUGGCGUCUUGCCUCAAGCGUAGUAGAACAUACAUCUCGCUUCGGAGCGCAGGGCGUCGCCCGCCGGACGAACCUUCUGAACUUUUCUCAAGGUUGACCUCGGAUCAGGUAGGGAUACCCGCUGAACUUAAGCAUAU
rnacentral:rRNA from 1 species